AGCAGCCGCGGUAAUUCCAGCUCCAAUAGCGUAUAUUAAAGUUGUUGCAGUUAAAAAGCUCGUAGUUGAAUUUCGGGGUUCUACCGUCGGUCGGGCUACCAAGUCUGUACUGGUGUGUAGAAUUCCUACCUUCUGGGGAACCAUCAUGUUAUUAAUUUAGCGUAGUGGGAAACCAGGACCUUUACCUUGAAAAAAUUAGAGUGUUCAAAGCAGGCUUAUGUCUGAAUACAUUAGCAUGGAAUAAUAGAAUAGGACGGUGGUCCUGUUUUGUUGGUUUCUGAAUCACCGUAAUGAUUAAUAGGGAUAGUUGGGGGCAUUAGUAUUCAAUUGUCAGAGGUGAAAUUCUUGGAUUUAUUGAAGACUAACUUCUGCGAAAGCAUUUGCCAAGGAUGUUUUCAUUAAUCAAGAACGAAAGUUAGGGGAUCGAAGACGAUCAGAUACCGUCGUAGUCUUAACCAUAAACUAUGCCGACUAGGGAUCGGACGAUGUUAAAUUUUAUUGACUCGUUCGGCGCCUUACG
rnacentral:rRNA from 1 species